rnacentral:sRNA from 21 species
AGAUACCAGGGUCACAAGGUCUGACACCACGUGUACUCGCACACUAGUGGUAAAAUGACCUUGUGACCCGCCCCAAUAUGAGCAUAAAAGCGGGGCGUAAGCACUACGAUAUGCGAAUGUUGGGUAGGAUUGUGGGAGCACAUAGUGCGUAACAAUCCGUAGGUAUCA